GGAGUUGUGGCUCAGCGGUAAAUUGUUCACCUAGCACGUGGGAGGCCCUGGGUUCAAUCCUCAGCACCA
rnacentral:tRNA from 1 species